CAGCCGCCGCGGGAAAACGGAGGGAGCUAGCGUUGUUCGGAAUUACUGGGCGUAAAGCGCACGUAGGCGGUUAUUCAAGUCAGAGGUGAAAGCCCGGGGCUCAACCCCGGAACUGCCUUUGAAACUAGAUGACUAGAAUCUUGGAGAGGUCAGUGGAAUUCCGAGUGUAGAGGUGAAAUUCGUAGAUAUUCGGAAGAACACCAGUGGCGAAGGCGACUGACUGGACAAGUAUUGACGCUGAGGUGCGAAAGCGUGGGGAGCAAACAGGAUUAGAUACCCCCGUAGUCCCCUGUCUCUUAUU
rnacentral:rRNA from 1 species